AGAGAGAGACAUGCGCGCAUAUCAAUAAGCGGAGGAAAAGAAACUAACAAGGAUUCCCCUAGUAACGGCGAGUGAAGCGGGAAGAGCUCAAAUUUGAAAUCUUAAAGGGUUUCCCUUUACGAAUUGUAGUUUAAAGAAGUGUUUUCUGUUGAGGUUUUGGUAAAAGUUCUUUGGAAUAGGACAUCAUAGAGGGUGAGAAUCCCGUAUUUGACCUUUACUUUCAACCUUUGUGAUACACUUUCAAAGAGUCGGAUUGUUUGGGAAUGCAGUCCAAAAUGGGUGGUAAAUUUCAUCUAAAGCUAAAUAUUGGCGAGAGACCGAUAGCGAACAAGUACCGUGAGGGAAAGAUGAAAAGAACUUUGAAAAGAGAGUUAAACAGUACGUGAAAUUGUCAAAAGGGAAGCGUUUGACACCAGUGUUGUUUUUCUGAAAAUCAAUUAAAGAACUGUUUAUGCUAAGUUGUUUAGACUUUAUCAGCUAUCUGUUUAGUUUUGAGCUUUUCUUUAAUGCACUUUUCAGUUAACAAGUCAACAUCAAUUUCUUUUGCUGUAAAAAAGCUUGAGGAAGGUGGCUUGAGAUUCGUCUUAAGUGUUUAUAGCCUCUUGCCUAUGCAGUCGGAGAGAUUGAGGUCUGCAGCGUAGAUCCUUCGGGGCUAAAUGCAUUUGUGCUAAGUUAUAGCAUUUUAUAGACAACUUGUUGACUAUGAUUUGUCUUGUAGCUUACUCGCUUAUGUUAUUUUACCUACGCUUAGGAUGUUGACGCAUGAGAUAUACGC
rnacentral:rRNA from 1 species